rnacentral:rRNA from 1 species
CACCGGAGCUUGCUCCACCGGAAAAAGAGGAGUGGCGAACGGGUGAGUAACACGUGGGUAACCUGCCCAUCAGAAGGGGAUAACACUUGGAAACAGGUGCUAAUACCGUAUAACAAUCGAAACCGCAGGGUUUUGAUUUGAAAGGCGCUUUCGGGUGUCGCUGAUGGAUGGACCCGCGGUGCAUUAGCUAGUUGGUGAGGUAACGGCUCACCAAGGCGACGAUGCAUAGCCGACCUGAGAGGGUGAUCGGCCACAUUGGGACUGAGACACGGCCCAAACUCCUACGGGAGGCAGCAGUAGGGAAUCUUCGGCAAUGGACGAAAGUCUGACCGAGCAACGCCGCGUGAGUGAAGAAGGUUUUCGGAUCGUAAAACUCUGUUGUUAGAGAAGAACAAGGAUGAGAGUAACUGUUCAUCCCUUGACGGUAUCUAACCAGAAAGCCACGGCUAACUACGUGCCAGCAGCCGCGGUAAUACGUAGGUGGCAAGCGUUGUCCGGAUUUAUUGGGCGUAAAGCGAGCGCAGGCGGUUUCUUAAGUCUGAUGUGAAAGCCCCCGGCUCAACCGGGGAG